CCUACGGGCGGCAGCAGUGGGGAAUAUUGGACAAUGGGCGAAAGCCUGAUCCAGCCAUGCCGCGUGUGUGAAGAAGGCCUUCGGGUUGUAAAGCACUUUCAGUGGGGAAGAAAGCCUUGGGGCUAAUACCCUCGAGGAAGGACAUCACCCACAGAAGAAGCACCGGCUAACUCCGUGCCAGCAGCCGCGGUAAUACGGAGGGUGCGAGCGUUAAUCGGAAUUACUGGGCGUAAAGCGCGCGUAGGCGGUCUGAUAAGCCGGUUGUGAAAGCCCCGGGCUCAACCUGGGAACGGCAUCCGGAACUGUCAGGCUAGAGUGCAGGAGAGGAAGGUAGAAUUCCCGGUGUAGCGGUGAAAUGCGUAGAGAUCGGGAGGAAUACCAGUGGCGAAGGCGGCCUUCUGGACUGACACUGACGCUGAGGUGCGAAAGCGUGGGUAGCAAACAGGAUUAGAUACCCAGUAUC
rnacentral:rRNA from 1 species